GAAGCAACCGUUCAAUCACUGGAGGAGAGAAGUAUUACCCGGUGAAGAAGGGGAACGUAAUGGAACUGGUGGAGCGGGAGCCCUGUUCCAUGUGUGGGAAGACGUGGCGCUUGCAGUGUGUGCCAAAGGAGAACACCGGAGUUGACAUACAUAC